rnacentral:lncRNA from 10 species
AUAGACAAUUUAGAUUUAACAUCUGUGCCCUUAACCAACAGAAUCUAGCACAUGCUGGGCCCAUUAAGGCCCCUUAAAGAGCUUUCAGAAGACAACCUGGUACGAUGGCCCUGCCUUGUGUCACUAUUUUAUUCGGCAGUUCCAGCCUGGUUCUGUCACAUUGUCUCAUCACAAAAUUGGAUUGCACAGAACUCAAAUGGAGAGGACGUUCAAACUCAGGAAUGUGGAGCACUCAUCAUCUGCUGUGGUCAAAGAGACAAUCUGUGAAGAAAGUGAACAAGGCAGAUGGAGAUAAAUUCAAAAACAGAGAUCCGAAAGGCUGCUAAGAGAGAAAGGAACAGGAAUCUCCCAGUUCCUGAGAGCCUCCCAGGCUUUCUCCCUCGAUGUUUGGAGUUUUAUGCCUAUGUAAUCAGUGCAGACAGCCGUUAAGUAAAUGAAGAGGCAACUAACAAUGUCAGAAAAGAGACCGGGCGGUUCCGGCUGACACUACCCUAAUCUUCCAGGACCCAUUAAAUGGUAGUUUCAACGCAUUACCUACCAUAACAUCCUUGAAUAUCACUGAUUUUAUUUGCAGUAUCAAACAUUCCAUUUCAUGCCCCAUUAACAGUGGGAGCCUGGGCUUUUUGACGCAGCUAAACAUUUUACUAACUACCUGGACUAAGUAACCAAUUAACUUUUGGAGACAAUACGGCCAAUUAAGCGCGAAAAGAAAAUUUGGAAAACAGGCUUUUCCUAUCCGGAUGAACAGAGAUAAUUUGUGUCGAUGGAUGUUCUGUGAAGGCCUAUUGUGUCGAGCAGCGUAUUAAAACAUAAACAUGGCUCUUCCCCCAAGAAACUUACAUUUCAGUAAGGGAGCCUGGCCAAAAUGGAAAACUGCAAGGUUCAAAUCCUGGAGUGCAGAAGAAGCAUUAGGCAUUGACCCUGUGGCUUCCUAAUAGAUCCGCAAAGUGCUUUGUUCCUGGAAAUCAUCCGAUGAGUAGUUCAGUGCUAUUGUAUAUCUUGUUAGAGCAGCCGAAGUGCCACAAAAUGAACUAAAAUCUCCCUGCAGAGUUGCUGUAUCAUAUGCUGAGAACAUUCGGAACUUUCAACAAAUUCAUGUUACGAUCCUGGGUAGCCAUGGUUAAAUCUGUACAGGGGUUAAAUGAGAAAUAUGAGCCUGCUGUUAAGUGUCUUCUGAGAGUGACAAAGCUCUGGCCAUAAGGGAUGGGAGAGGAGGGAUUUCUUCUCAGCCUUCCAGCCCUUUCCAGCUGUAUCACAGACAGGAGACAUAAUGCAAAGGGGCUCAGACAUUGACUUCCUGGAUCUUUGCGGCCCCAGGCAUUGACCCCCUCUACCUGGCUUUUCCUACGCUGUAAAAUGAGGAUCCUCCUAUAUUAUGGAGUUUAUUGUGACAACUAAAUAGCUGAGAAGAAGGACAUCUCAUUUGUUUUAACUAUGCAGUUUCCUGUCUAUCUAUCUAUCUAUCCCAUCAAUCUAUCAAUCAAUCUAUCAAUCUGUCUAUCCCUAUCUAUCUAUCCAUCUAUCUAUCUAUAUCUGUCUAUAUCUAUCUAACAUUUAUCUAUCAUCUAUUCAUCUAUCAGCUAUCUUCUGUCUAUCAAUAUUUCAAUCAAUCUCUCUAUCCCUAUCAAUUAAUCUAUCUACCUACCUAUCAACUAUCCAUCUAUCUCUAUCAUCUAUCAUCUAUUCAUCUAUCAUUUAUCAUCUGUCAAUCCAUCUUCCUACUAUCUAUCAAAAGCAACACAUUUUCUUCCUGACUUUAAAAAUAUUUAAGUGGGCCGGGAGGAUGGCUCACGCCUGUAAUCCCAGCACUUUGGGAGGCCUAGGCGGGCGGAUCACGAGGUCAGGAGAUGGAGACCAUCCUGGCUAACAUGGUGAAACCCCGUCUCUACUAAAAAUACAAAAAAAAAAAAAAAUUAACCAGGCGUGGUGGAGGGCGCCUGUAGUCCCAGCUACUCGGGAGACUGAGGCAGGAGAAUGGGGAGAACCCGGGAGGCGGAGCUUGCAGUGAGCCGAGAUCAUGCCACUGCACUCCAGCCUGGGCGACAGAGCAAGACUCCAUCUCAAAAGAAACAAAAACAAAAACGUAAGUGAUACUCUGUCCACUCUUUUGAUUGAGGAGGUCUGAUUUUCAGGCUUUGGAUUUUAUUAUGUCUUCAAUAUAAUAAUUGUUCCAUGUAUCUCUCCUAAAUUGCCAUUUGAAAAACUGCUUUUCUGAAGUUUAAAGUGCACAUUUUGAUACAUCUUGACACAUAUAUACACCCAUGAAAUCAUCACCACAAUCAGGAUAGUAGAUCUAUCCAUUACCGCCAAGGUUUACUUGCACUCCUUUGAACUUUCUCCCCACUCCUCACCCCCUGCCUAUCCCCAAUCCUUAAGCAAUCACUGAUUUGCUUUCUGUCACUAUCAGUUAAUUUGAAUUUUUCAGAAAUGUAUAUAAAUAAAAUCAUUCGACGUGUAUGCUCUUUUUCUGUUCACCCGGUACAAUUUGAGAUUUAGCCAUGUUUUUGCAUGUGUCAAUAGUUUAUUUUUUUGUUGCUCAGUACUAAUCCAUUUUAUGGAUACAGAGAAAUGUAUUAAUGCAAUCCCAUAUUAAUAGGCAUUUGGGUUGUUUCCAGGUUUGGGCUGUUACAAAUAAAGCUGCUAUGAACAUUUUUGUGCAAGUCUUUUUAUGAGUAUAUUCCUUUAUUUCUUUUGGGUAAAUACCUAGAAGUGGGAUGGGUGUAUCACAUGGUACGUAAAUAUUUAAAUUUUUAAGAGAAUGCCAAACUGUUUUUCAAAGUAAUUGCACCAUUUUAUAUUCCCACCAGGAAUAUAUGAGAAUUCCAGUUCCUCUACAUACUCACAGACAUAUUGUAUGGUCAGU